rnacentral:rRNA from 1 species
UACGGAGGGUGCGAGCGUUGUCCGGAAUCAUUGGGCGUAAAGGGCGCGUAGGUGGCCUGGUCAGUUCGUGGUGAAAGCGCGGGGCUCAACCCCGCGUCGGCCAUGAAUACUGCGAGGCUGGAGCACUGUAGAGGCAGGCGGAAUUCCGGGUGUAGCGGUGGAAUGCGUAGAGAUCCGGAAGAACACCGGUGGCGAAGGCGGCCUGCUGGGCAGUUGCUGACACUGAGGCGCGACAGCGUGGGGGAGCAAACAGG